rnacentral:lncRNA from 1 species
GACUCUAAACGUCCCUGCAGGAACCGCAGGAGCCAGAAUCUGGCCACGAACCGGGUGCAACUUCGACGGGUCCGGUCGUGGGAGUUGCCAAACCGGUGAUUGCGGUGGUGUGCUCAAGUGCACUGGUUUCGGAAAACCUCCAAACACCUUGGCUGAAUAUGCUCUCAACCAAUACAACAACCUUGACUUCUUCGACAUAUCACUGGUCGAUGGAUUCAAUGUGCCGUUGGAGUUUCAACCAACCAGAGGAUGUAACAAAUGGCCGACGUGCUCUGCAAACCUGAACAACGGCUGCCCCGGCGCGCUACAGACGUCUGGGGGUUGUAACAAUCCAUGCACCGUUUUUAAAACCGAUCAGUACUGUUGCACCAAUAACUACAACUGUCAACCAACUACAUACUCCAAAUACUUCAAGCAGAAAUGCCCGACAUCGUACAGUUAUCCAAAGGACGAUCCGACCAGCACCUUCACUUGCCCCGGUGGAACUAACUACAACGUUAUUUUCUGCCCUUGAGCUU